AGCGAACGCUGGCGGCAGGCUUAACACAUGCAAGUCGAGCGGGCACUGUCGGGUGUCAGCGGCGGACGGGUGAGUAACGCGGGGGAACGUGCCCUCUGGUUCGGAAUAACUCAGGGAAACUUGAGCUAAUACCGGAUACGCCCUUUUGGGGAAAGGCUUGCUGCCGGAGGAUCGGCCCGCGUCUGAUUAGCUAGUUGGUGAGGUAACGGCUCACCAAGGCGACGAUCAGUAGCUGGUCUGAGAGGAUGAUCAGCCACACUGUGACUGAGACACGGCCCAGACUCCUACGGGAGGAAGCAGUGGGGAAUAUUGGACACUGGGCGCAAGACUGAUCCAGCCAUGCCGCGUGAGUGAUGAAGGACUUAGGGUUGUAAAGCUCUUUUAUCCGGGACGAUAAUGACGGUACCGGAGGAAUAAGCCCCGGCUAACUUCGUG
rnacentral:rRNA from 1 species